CAUUGGCUCAANCAAUGUAUGCUUUGGAAACUGUUAGACUUGAGUGCAGAAGGGGAGAGUGGAAUUCCAUGUGUAGCGGUGAAAUGCGUAGAUAUAUGGAGGAACACCGGUGGCGAAAGCGGCUCUCUGGUCUGUCACUGACGCUGAGGCUCGAAAGCGUGGGUAGCGAACAGGAUUAGAUACCCUGGUAGUCCACGCCGUAAACGCUGAGUGCUAGGUGUUAGGUUCUUUCCGGGACUUAGUGCCGACGCUAACGCAUUAAGCACUCCGCCUGGGGAGUACGUCCGCAAGGUUGAAACUCAAAGGAAUUGACGGGGGCCCGCACAAGCGGUGGAGCAUGUGGUUUAAUUCGAAGCAACGCGAAGAACCUUACCAGGUCUUGACAUCCCGAUGCCCGCUCUAGAGAUAGAGUUUUACUUUUUGUACAUCGGAGACAGGUGGUGCAUGGUUGUCGUCAGCUCGUGUCGCGAGAUGUUGGGUUAAGUCCCGCAACGAGCGCAACCCUUAUUGUUAGUUGCCAUCAUUAAGUUGGGCACUCUAGCGAGACUGCCGGUAAUAAACCGGAGGAAGGUGGGGAUGACGUCAAAUCAUCAUGCCCCUUAUGACCUGGGCUACACACGU
rnacentral:rRNA from 1 species